GACGAACGCUGGCGGCGUGCUUAACACAUGCAAGUCGAACGGAGAAUAUAGCAAUUUAUUCUUAGUGGCGAACGGGUGAGUAACGCGUAGACAACCUGCCUCAAAGAUGGGGACAACACCGCGAAAGUGGUGCUAAUACCGAAUGUGCUAUAUUAGUCUCAUGAUUGAUAUAGGAAAGGUGGCCUCUGUAUAUGCUACCGCUUUGAGAUGGGUCUGCGUCUGAUUAGCUAGUUGGUGAGGUAACGGCUCACCAAGGCGACGAUCAGUAGCCGGUCUGAGAGGAUGAACGGCCACACUGGGACUGGGACACGGCCCAGACUCCUACGGGAGGCAGCAGUGGGGAAUCUUCCGCAAUGGACGAAAGUCUGACGGAGCAACGCCGCGUGAGUGAAGAAGGCCUUCGGGUUGUAAAGCUCUGUCUUCAGGGACGAAUGUGGGUGGUGUAAAUAAUGCCAUCUAAUGACGGUACCUGAGGAGGAAGCCACGGCUAACUACGUGCCAGCAGCCGCCGUAAAAC
rnacentral:rRNA from 1 species